rnacentral:rRNA from 1 species
GAUGAACGCUGGCGGCGUGCCUAAUACAUGCAAGUCGAGCGAACGGACGAGAAGCUUGCUUCUCUGAUGUUAGCGGCGUACGUGUGAGUAACACGUGGAUAACCUACCUAUAAGACUGGGAUAACUUCGGGAAACCGGAGCUAAUACCGGAUAAUAUUUUGAACCGCAUGGUUCAAAAGUGAAAGACGGUCUUGCUGUCACUUAUAGAUGGUUCCCCGCUGCAUUAGCUAGUUGGUAAGGUAACGGCUUACCAAGGCAACGAUGCAUAGCCGACCUGAGAGGGUGAUCGGCCACACUGGAACUGAGACACGGUCCAGACUCCUACGGGAGGCAGCAGUAGGGAAUGUUCCGCAAUGGGCGAAAGCCUGACGGAGCAACGCCGCGUGAGUGAUGAAGGUCUUCGGAUCGUAAAACUCUGUUAUUAGGGAAGAACAUAUGUGUAAGUAACUGUGCACAUCUUGACGGUACCUAAUCAGAAAGCCACGGCUAACUACGUG